GAUGAACGCUCGCUACAGGCUUAACACAUGCAAGUCGAGGGGAAACGACAUCGAAAGCUUGCUUUUGAUGGGCGUCGACCGGCGCACGGGUGAGUAACGCGUAUCCAACCUGCCCACCACUUGGGGAUAACCUUGCGAAAGUAAGACUAAUACCCAAUGAUAUCCCACGAAGACAUCUGAAUGGGAUUAAAGAUUUAUCGGUGAUGGAUGGGGAUGCGUCUGAUUAGCUUGUUGGCGGGGUAACGGCCCACCAAGGCAACGAUCAGUAGGGGUUCUGAGAGGAAGGUCCCCCACAUUGGAACUGAGACACGGUCCAAACUCCUACGGGAGGCAGCAGUGAGGAAUAUUGGUCAAUGGGCGAGAGCCUGAACCAGCCAAGUAGCGUGCAGGAAGACGGCCCUAUGGGUUGUAAACUGCUUUUAUAAGGGAAUAAAGUGGGUCACGUGUGACUUUUUGCAUGUACCUUAUGAAUAAGGACCGGCUAAUUCCGUG
rnacentral:rRNA from 1 species